AGGGCGCCAUGUGGAGUGCUCCGGCCGUUGGAAUAAGACCCCUCCUCUAUGUCUCCCUCUGUUCUGUCAGUGCUGGGGUGUAGCAACUGAUCUUAUACUACAGCAGGAAGAGAGGAGUAGAGAGAGAGGAGGAGAGAGAGAGAGGGGGAGAGAGACAGAGGGGGAAAGAGAGAUGAGCGACAGCAGGUGUCAGUGCACUGAAAAACCUAGAUGAGGCUGCAUUGCCACGACAACCAACGCUAGGGUACCGCCAGAUCCUGGCAUCACCGGACAGACCCGAGACCCGAGUCCAGUCUCAGCCCCAGGUCCGGUCCGGUCCGGUCCGGUCCGGCCCGGCCCCGGCCCCCCUCCAGUCCUGCUUUGCUCAGCAGCCCAGCCCGCUCCAGGAGCCAUCAGGGUUAGUGCACUUUUGGCAUUGCCGUCUGUGCUGAGGCCUGAGCUCGGCUCUCUCUGGGUAGAGGUUAUUUAUUCCCCCGUGCCCACAUAGGUUCCUUAGGUCUUGCAAAAAAAAAAAAAGAAGAAGAAAAAAAACAGCUACGCACUCCCGACGCUACGCAAUCCAAUAACCCACUCAGCAAGUUCCCCUGCCCAGAGCCUUCUCCAAAUAACACAGCGGAUUUAUACCGCUCGAUAGGACGAUUACAUCGACUUCACUCUCCGAUGUACUAGCGAUUUUAACAAAAUGGAAAUGUUUGGUUGCUUCCAUGUUUUUCUACUGGGUGACAGAAGGGGGGAGGGGUAACUACGGCCUCUGGCUCCUCUCACUGUUUUAUCUCUUUAAGGAAUCUCAGACAGUUUUAUCUUUGAAAGGUAUCUUUAUUUUUUUUCUUCAGAAACAUAGCAAAUAUUGUAUAUCCGGUGAGCGGUGGCCCCAGAGUGUAGGGGGAAGGGUGCUUUCUGAGGCGCAAACAUACUCUCUUAGACACACCGAGCACACACACCAAAUCAAGAUUCUAAGAAGAACAGGAAGGCUGCGCUGUUUGACUCAUAAUUCAAAAUACUGCACGUUGAGCAUUUUCCCGCAGUUCAAUGGAGGACACAAAGCUAAACUAAAUGCACAGCCAUUGGAUGGCCAUAAAUAAGACAGCAUCGCACUGUGCACAAAACAGCACCUCGUCCAUCCAGACGGAGAGACAAAGAGUUGUUCCGUGGUAUUGCUUCAAUGCCCUGUCGAGCACCUUGAGGCCGUCCACCACGAUGAAAGUUUUUACAUAUCAGUGAGGUGGCUGGCAGUCACUCUGCACACAUGCAUGCGUCGGCGGGCACAUAUGUGUGUGUGCUCUGCGUGUGGAGGACUAGCAGAUGAGACAUGCAGUUAACCGUAAAAUGGCAACCCUGCAAGUUGCACCACCGCUGGGGUGGGAGGUGGAUCUGGAUCGUUUGCUGACCACGCCUCUACAGUGCUGUGUAAUGGACAAACAGAACCUAAUUUCCUUGUUCUGAAAGGUCUAAAUGACCCCCCCUCCCCAAACACUCGACGGCAGGAUCGGAGCCACGCCUAAACUAACGUAUAGUCAUUCAUUGCCCCUGCACCAUGAGAGCACUGUUUCACUUAUUAUUAUAUCAUGUCCUCAUUUGUUUAUUCUUCGAGACACAGGAGGUGAGCGAGAGAGAUACCAUCAAAUAAACGUCUUUAAACAUAAGCGAUUUGGGAUUUUCGUUGCGUUUUUCCGCCCUAGCACAUCAUGAUGUGAAACAGAAGCAGCCAGGGUGGGUGUGGAGGAAGUGCGUUUGUGCGUGUGUAUGUUUGCGUGCACGUUGUGGGACUUUCGGGCCCACUCAAGCUCUUUUUACCAGCGUGGUCAUAGUGCAUGCAGCAGACCUCCUUAUUAUCCUCCAACUCAAUUUAGAGAUGCAUUAGAGGAGGCUGAGGCGCGCCUCGUUAUGCUCAGAUGCAAUCAGACUGUCUGUGUUUUGAAAGGAAAUCAAAGUGGUGGGCACAUCUCUAUUGACUCUUUGUUGGCCAUAUAUCUGCAUUUAAAUGGAGCUAUAGCUCUGUUUAUGUGGAUAUAGAUGCAUUCAUGUAUGCAUAUCUACACUUAUGUAGAUGUAGUUUAAUGUAUAUAUGAAUAUGUGUAUUAAUAUCGAUACAUUGAUAUAUACAUGUCAUGAUAAUACAUUUAUAUUGAUUCAUAUUCAGGUCACUAUUCAAUUACUUUAAAUUGGAUUUGUAUAGCCCUUAAUCGUCAUUACAGUUGCAAAGGGCUUAAUAGGGCAAAUAUUUAUGACACCCCCUGACUCAAGGUCCCCAAGACGGCAAGAAAAAACUCCCUUAAUCAGCAAGGAAGAAAUCUUGAGUCACUCCCCACAGCUGGUGAUCGUAGGGUACAGGAUCAUAGGCCGAGUGGAAAAUUGAGAUCUUCACCUUACGGCUCAGCUCUCCCUUCACAUGUACAGAACACCGCAUCAAUGCUGGUCUGUCUCACGCUCCCCGGUCCAUCUCACACUCCA
ensembl:lncRNA